GUUCCAGCUCUUGCCUGACGCCCAAUCACCGCUCAUCACCGAGUAGUCUUACCCAAUCGGCACUCGCCGACGUGAUCUCCCCGCCCCCUGUGACGGCCAUUUUGGGAAGGUCUCCCAAAAAGAGCGCGGAGGUCUGGUGAAGCGGCGUUUGCUAUGUAGCCCGGAAUGGACUUGAACUUGCUAUGGAGUCCAGUCUUCCAACUCUCCAUCCUCCUGCCUCAGCUUCCUUAGUGCUGGGACUACAGGAAUCUAGGAUUUGAGUUUGCGAUCCUCCUGCCUCAGCCUCCCAGUGUGCUGGGAUUACAGGGAUUGAACUCACGACUGCCUGCUUGCAAGGCGGGCGCUUAUGCCACCGAGCUAAACCUCCAGCCCCGCUAAACUUUAAACAAAAAUGUGAACACAGACUCAUUUUAUUUAACAAGACCGAAAAUAAAACUGAGACAUAAAUUCACACGAGAGCCUUUUGUGUUGUCCAAAACAAUUCCUCCAGCUAGCGACCCAAGGCAAUUAUACCAUCAGUAUCAUUUAUAGAAUGAUUCAUAUAACAAGAAUCAUUACUCCAUUACAAAGGGCAUCAUUAAGCCCUUGGGGCUCUUUGAAAAAAAAAUUACUUUGACUUUUCAAUCACCAGCCUACACAAAAGCAGAGAUAAAAAGGAAUGGAAAUACAAACACACAAUGAUUGGCUAUUACCUCUUUUACAAGGAAACACAGAAACAGUACCCUACUGAAUAGAACCAGGAAGUAGUGGUUAGGUUUACAGAGUAUCUCCAAUCAAACAAAUAGUCAAAGUCAGUAAAUCUGAUCAUCGUACUUUCACUACUCCCCUCAGAUGAAGUUUCAAUGCUGAGAGAUACACAGGCCUAUAGAAAUGGCCCCAGAUUUAUAAAAUAUCUCCUUAGUUUGGAUCAAUAUAUUGCUAAGUUCAUUAGUGAUUUCCUCUUCAAUAUAAUCAUAAGUCCCUCCAAAUCCAUUUUAGUUUUAUAAAAAUUAUCAACAAACUUUGGCUUCCUUACAAACUUUCUGUCCUUAUAUUUAAAAAAGUGAUUAAAAACAGUACUGAAUAGCAAUCACUUCUGCAAACUUUAACAAGUGAGAAACAUUCCACCAGGUAACGGUUCUUUGGAAAAUCCUUCAAAAACUAAAUUUUAUAAACAUUUACUUAUUUUGAUAAAAGCUCCACUUACAAAUAGCAGCCAG